GACGAACGCUGGCGGCAGGCUUAACACAUGCAAGUCGAGCGAGCGGCGGACGGGUGAGUAAUGUCUGGGAAACUGCCUGAUGGAGGGGGAUAACUACUGGAAACGGUAGCUAAUACCGCAUACCAUCAGAUGUGCCCAGAUGUGAUUAGCUAGUAGGUGGGGUAAUGGCUCACCUAGGAGACGAUCCCUAGCCGUUAUGAGAGGAUGACCAGCCAUACUGGAACUGAGAAACGUUCGAUAUUCCUACGGGAGGCAGCAGUGGGGAAUAUUGCACAAGUGGCGCAAGUCUGAUGCAGCCAUGCCGCGUGUGUGAAGAAGGCCUUCGGGUUGUAAAGCACUUUCAGCGAGGAGGCGUUACUCUCAGAAGAAGCACCGGCUAACUCCGUGCCAGCCGCCGCGGUAAUAC
rnacentral:rRNA from 1 species